UAAUUUCUGUUUUAGUAACCUUUUAUCUGAGCCUGAACACUUCACUCUUAUCCAGCCCUAAGAAGCUGAAUCUGCCUGUAGCUGUACAGACAUCACCCAGGGUUGCUGAAUAGCUGACCACACUCUCAAGUAAAAGGCCCUCAGAGACUAUGCAGCGCCACUGAUUCGAUCCAAGAUCAGUGACGAGAUGAUCCCAAGGUUUCACAAUCCUGCAACAGGCCGUGUCCUGAGCAGCUGCUGUGCUGGUUAUGGAGAAGUGGAGAGCAUGAGACUGAUUCCUGUGGCGCUCCAGGGACAGACGAGUCAUGCAGAUGUCCAGCGUUCUCCGGCACCUAGUCUGUAGCUCUGCACAAGACGUUUGGCCUUAGGAGAAAUGGUCGUGCCCAACUGAGCCUGGUUUUUUCUAAAGGAGAGCCAAAGCUGGUGUAAAAUAAGUACAGCAGACGUGUGUGUUCAUCUGACCUGCAGUCUGUUCAUUCUGAUCACAGAAGAAGAUCCUUGAAGACCUCUGUGCAGUGAAGCUAAAUCACACAAGAGCUCUUUCUGCUCCUCAACUUUGUGUCGAGAUUUCAUCAAGAUGGCAGCAGACUUACUUGAGGACCCUUUAGAGGACAUGGCCAAGUGUUUGUUAUCGUUUAAGAACACGUUUCAGUGGUUUGACAACAUUAAAAAGGAGAUAGAAGAGAGGUGUGGCAUUAAAACAGAGCAUUGCUGGAAAGAUGAUGACAUUAGACAAGCUUGGAUAGAAACACAGAAAAUGGCAAAAGGUUACAAAAGAAACCAAUGGGCGUAUGUGAUAACAUUCCUGGAGAUGAAAAUGUUUGAUGAUGAUGAAAAUGAGACAACUGAAGUAGAGUCUGAUGUAACUGAGCAUGCACAGAAAGAGCAGCCAUGUGGCAGUGCGUCAAAACGGAUUCAAUUGAUAGACCAACACAAAGAGCAUCUCAAUGCAUUACUGAACGCACAUAUAAACUAGUGGGGGAUAUGUAUAAAAGUGAAAAAGCAAACGGUGGUUACAUUCAUUUUGGCUAAACAAUAGUUUUUGAUAGGACAGGCACCUCUGAACAAACUAAAACAUAUAUUCAACAUAUAUAGCUAUAAAUGUAAGUAUCUUCUAUGAUGCACUGGUCUUCUGUGAUUUACUGGUAGUACCAAGUUAGUUAUAUAUGUAUAUAUUAAAUAACCAAAAAUAGCCAUGGGGGAAUAUUCUCCAUAUUUGCAUAAUAUUGUUAUUAUUUUAAAAAAUAACUAACCUAACAUUCUGGAAAGUUUUUAGAGUUGCAAAAAAUAACCUGAAACAAUGUUCACUUUGGUUAUUUAAAAAAAAUAAUCAUAUAAAAAUGGAGAGAACAUAAUUUCUAAGCAUAAUAGUGUUAAUAACUCAUCUCUAAUAACCGAUUUAUUUUCUCUUAAUGAUGACAGUAAAUGAUAUUAGACUAGAUAUUCUUCAAGACACUUCUAUACAGCUUAAAGUGACAUUUAAAGGCUUAACCAGGUUAAUUAGGGUAACUAGGCAGGUUAGGGUAAUCAGGCAAGUUAUUGUAUGAUGAUGGUU